rnacentral:rRNA from 1 species
UACGAAGGGGGCUAGCGUUGCUCGGAAUUACUGGGCGUAAAGCGCACGUAGGCGGUCUUUUAAGUCGGGGGUGAAAUCCUGGAGCUCAACUCCAGAACUGCCUUCGAUACUGGAAGACUUGAGUCCGGGAGAGGUGAGUGGAACUGCGAGUGUAGAGGUGAAAUUCGUAGAUAUUCGCAAGAACACCAGUGGCGAAGGCGGCUCACUGGCCGGUUCUGACACUGAGGCACGAAAGCGUGGGGAGCGAACGGG